UACAGAGGUCCCAAGCGUUGUUCGGAUUCACUGGGCGUAAAGGGUGCGUAGGCGGUCGGGUAAGUCUGAUGUGAAAUCUCACAGCUUAACUGUGAAACUGCAUUGGAUACUAUUCGGCUUGAGAGUUGGAGGGGGGACUGGAAUUCUUGGUGUAGCAGUGAAAUGCGUAGAUAUCAGGAGGAACACCUGUGGCGAAAGCGGCUCACUGGACCAUAACUGACGCUGAUGCACGAAAGCUAGGGGAGCAAACAGG
rnacentral:rRNA from 1 species